rnacentral:rRNA from 1 species
CAGUAGCCCGGGAAAACGUAGGUGGCAAGCGUUGUCCGGAAUUAUUGGGCGUAAAGGGCUCGCAGGCGGUUUCUUAAGUCUGAUGUGAAAGCCCCCGGCUCAACCGGGGAGGGUCAUUGGAAACUGGGAAACUUGAGUGCAGAAGAGGAGAGUGGAAUUCCACGUGUAGCGGUGAAAUGCGUAGAGAUGUGGAGGAACACCAGUGGCGAAGGCGACUCUCUGGUCUGUAACUGACGCUGAGGAGCGAAAGCGUGGGGAGCGAACAGGAUUAGAUACCCCUGUAGUCCCUGUCUCUUAUACC